GUCCACGCCGUAAACGUUGGGCACUAGGUGUGGGUUCCAACCAACGGAAUCCGUGCCGUAGCUAACGCAUUAAGUGCCCCGCCUGGGGAGUACGGCCGCAAGGCUAAAACUCAAAGGAAUUGACGGGGCCCCGCACAAGCAGCGGAGCGUGUUGCUUAAUUCGAUGCGACGCGAAGAACCUUACCUGGGCUUGACAUGCAGGGAAAAGCCGUAGAGAUACGGUGUCCUUCGGGGCCUUGCACAGGUGGUGCAUGGCUGUCGU
rnacentral:rRNA from 1 species